UCUGUGAUUCUGCUGGACUGGCAAAGAAAGGACUCACUGACCAUUUCUCUGGAAUUCACUAAAGAAGCUUGUCUGGAAAACAACAAACCUUUUGGAAAAAAACAAGACCUGAAUGUUUGCCGUGACUGUCCCUCACUGAGGCCGUGCUCUGUAAUGAUGAGGCAUCACUGACAAAUCCAACACGAGCUACCCUAAACCAGCUUUUAAAAACUGACUAUUCUGCAUUUCCAAGCAGCUUUUACGCCUCUGGGUUGGUAAAGUGAAGAAACUUUUCCACUGGCCUGUCCACCUUUGCCCGAUUCUUCGCUCCUUCCGUUUGUGCCCAGCCACUCCCGAGGGAUGUGCCGAGCCUCCCCUUCCGUGGCUGCUGAGGUCGAGGGGUUACAGAUUUACAGCUGCCCAGACUUGCUCCAGCCCGGGCAGGAAUUCACUUGGCAUAAACGAGGCCUUUGGAUUAUUUAUCUCAGCCCUUCAGUUAAACAGGAACAUGCCCUGAUUUUAACAAUCGUGCUUCCUGCGCCGGGGGAAGGUGUGGCCGAUGGCAUUUAAACCCAAACCUGAGCCAAGGCUUCCCCAGCAGGAAGCUGGGAGUGCAGGCAGGACCAUGAGGGUUUCCUCCAGCACUCAAAACACACCAAGGGCCUCCCUCAGCUUAUUUUAUCACCCCCAGCUGCAACAAUGAUGUGCACGAGGGUGAGAUUCGGGGAGUGUCAGCAGAAAAUCGCACGGGACAACUGAGGAUGAACCUUUAGGUACAGCCUGGCACAGAAGCAGGGAAAGCCCAAACCUCCUCUGGAAGCUGAGGAAUAACUCCCUGAUCCUUUUGUGGUGCUGAAAGAACUGCCAAGGGCAGCCUGGAGGGUCAAUCCCCUUCCACCCUCCCCAAAAAAUGGCAUUUUCCCCCAACAUCCAGCCUGAACUAUCCCAGUUGCAAAUCCUGAGAUCCUGUUACAACAUUGAGAACUACAAAAACUCUUUAUUUCAUUAAUCAGCACUGUAAGCACUCAGGGUCCAGCUGUGAUCAGCCAAGGGGUCACCCCCAGUUUUGGAAGAGAUUCCUACCCUGCCAUUCUGACAGUGACACUGAUCUCCCCCGUCUCAGACCACAGCCAUGGAUUAUUCCCAUUUUCCAAGCUUGCUUUCUAGCCCAGGACUUUGCACCCUCAUGGGCAGCUCUUACAAAACCAAAGCUCUGCCUCCCACUUUUAAAGUCUGGAAGGAAAAGAAAAAAAGCUAAAAAAAAAAAACCAAAACCUCAAACCAGUAGUAACACAUGGAAAUGGGCUCCAGUUAAACCAGAAAAGCAGCCUAGGUUUUUAUAGUGGAAUGACAAAGAUGUUCGAAUCAGAAAAUGCUGAAUCCUGCCCCAGAGUGUCAGAAAAUGACUUUAUGUUUUUAGGCCUCAUCACUCAGUUCCAAGGGCUGAAGUUUUCCAUUGGCCCAAGAUCUCUUACACAGUUGAUUGCUCCCCUGAGCACAGCUCUGACCUCUUCUUGGGAGCCUGAGUGCCACCAGCAAGUACCUGGAGCCAGGUAAAGAUAGACACAUUCCAGGGCUGGUGAUUUUCAAAGGAAAACAAACCAUAAAAUAAACACCACAUUUCCCCUGAAAACAACCAGAAAGAGUAAUUUGAAAUAAACCAAACUCGGUGUCACCUUCUUAAAGCACCUCAGGCCUGACCAAAGGAAAGCACCACUGAACUGCCCUGUUUCUGAGUUUCAUCUCACUCUGGAGUUUCAUCUGGCUCUGUCACAUCCCUGCAUCUCCAGGUGGCCUCUGCUGCCUGCACAGCGUGGUGCAAACCACUGGGGAAAAGUGGGAACACCAAAAAUCCGCCCUGGCCCCGGGUGUUGGGGCUCCUGAGAGAAUGGGGGUGACUGAAAGCAGCACAGGCAGCUCCAGCCUCAGCAGAGCCCGGCCUGCUUCGGGGGAUGACUCAUUUCAGGAGCCUGAGCUCGCUCCCAGUCAUUAAGGAAGGAGUUAAUCCCUGCAGCUUUGGCCACAAAGUGGAUGUGUAAGGCCUGGAGUCCCAUGGGCUCGAUUGCAUAAGAAACCAUGUAUUGUGGCAUUCAGUUGAUCAUGCACUACUUCUUCUGGUCACAUGGAGGCUUGAUUUCCCCUUGCAUCAGCUACUACAGACUUUUCACAUUUCUCGUACUGGUGUCUGUUCAGUUCACUGGGGUCACCCCCUUCACCCCACGGCAGAGCCCGUGCUGCUCACCCAGCCCUGACCCACGGGAUCUCACCCCAGUUUCUGCAGGAUCCUGGCAGAGGAACCGGGCGCUUGUAAUUUUUCUCAUUUGUGCCUGUGCGUAACAGGUGUCAUUUUCAGCGUAGUACAGACAAAUCCCAAAAUAGCUCAGGCUCUUCAGACGCUGCGAGGAGAAAAAACCGUGGUUACUUCAGCUUUGGUUGUAGUGAAAAACCCAACGCUCGCAGCCGGCUCUGGAGUCGGAAUUAAAAUGGCAGACGGAGGAGUGGAGCAGGGAUCCGUCUGCGUUCCCCGUUUCCUGACGGACUGCUCCUCGCUGCUCUGAGCGUGCACAUCCCUCACAGCGCUGCCUUUCCCAGGAGCUGCCCCUAGCCCGGAUCCUCCUCCACACUCCCAGUGCUGGCAGAGCUCUGCCCCCCCUGCCCAGUGCGGGGCUGGCCGGAGGCACCGGAGUUAUUCCAGGGAUUUGGGGGGCAGAGGCGAGGAGGGAGAGUGCAGCUGCAAAAGGCUCCUCGCCUGGGGAUGAUGCCUGCUGUGCUGAAAUGCAGAGCUGCCUGUGGACUGUCUUUGUCGGGGAUUAUUGGAUUCUGGUGACUCCAGGAGCACAGUUAUUAGUUCCCCUGCCUACGCCGAGCGUUUUGAAUCUGUGUGUGCGAUAACACUUAUUAUACUGCUCAGAUUAAGAAGAUCCUAUGGCUUUCCAGCACUUUCAGCACCUUAUCUCACACCACCCAUCUGCCCAGCAGCAGAACCACGCUCAGAUCAGUGUGUUGUGGCCAGCAGAGCAGGGCCUUGUGGGGUCAGCAGCAGCCUCAUGCCCAGAAGCCCUGCACUUGUUCACAGCAGCAGCUCCUCCUAAGGUGCCUUGUGCUUCAGGGGAUCUGCCUGCUGAGGAUUUGCAGGACGUGGGCCUAGAAGAUUUUAUUUCAGGAAGUCAAGCAGUGGUUCCUGUCACCAAAACAGUUAAUCAGAAGCACCAACUCUCUACUGCAACGUGUGUGUGCGUGCACGUGUUUUUGUUUUUCAGAGCCAGCAAGAUUUGCUUUGGUUUUUUUUAAAGCAGAAAACACCAAAAAAGUUGGCUGUGGUUUCAGCUGCUAUCACUUGAGAUUUGUACUGCUGACUACCAAUCCUAAAAGAGUUAACCUGGUAAGUAUGACUCAGAAGCAGAGAAGGAGAUGCGAGGCUGAGAGCCGGGGAGGAAGCGCAGAAACAGAGGUGAGGAACAGAAGAAUUGCCAAAAAAAGGUGCAGAGUCCAGGAGCGACGCUCCCUCCGGUCUGCCUGGCCCUGGCACCGCUGGCACGGGCUCCCUGGAAAGCUGCAGUUCCGCUCUUAUAACACAAGGAGCAGGCUGGAGAAUUUAGAGCUGCGUCACAGAGCUCAGCGAGAGAGUGAGAGAGCAAGCUCCGUCGAUAGGUCUACCAGCAACAGCCCUGCUGCAGCAAGAGGGGAGAGAGGCAGCAAGAGAGGCACAGAGGGCUCCAGGAAGAGAAGUGGCACCAACACCACGGACUGGGCUCCUGCCACCAUCCACUGCCACUUGCAGCCCGUACUGGGGCUCGCCCGGCGUAGGAGGCUUCGCCCAUUGACGAUGCUGGAGACCCGGCGCGCUUAAUCCCGCGGGGAGGGAGAGUGGGCAGACACCGAAAGGGUUAACGGGAAGGAAAUUUCUGGAACCUUCUCUUCUGCGGCGCUCCAGAGCGAGCGCAGGGCUGCGCAGAUGGUGCACGGGCACGGCUCCUCGGUCCGGUUCGCCUCCCUCACCGACCAGCAAUGAAGAUGGCAGCUCUGCCUGGAAGUGCUGAGGACACAGCCAGCCUUGAGCUUGGUCCUUCUGGCCGAGGAAGUCUCCCGAUUAUGCAGUGGAGUGACACACUGGCAGCCUUGGAAAGGAGAGCACAGACGGAUGAACCCUUCCCAAAACAUGCACCUGCACCCUGCCAAGAAGGGCUGACACCUUCUGGGGAGCUUGUGAAGGCAACAGGACAAACUCCAGGUAGCCUGGAGGAGGAGCAGCAGCAUCUUAAUUAUGCUGAAGUGAAACCUGGUUUUAUCAAAACUAUAAAUAAUAAAUGAGCCAUUGGUCUUCAUCUGCUGCAUGGUAUUUCUGGCAAGGCUGGUCUCCUUUGCAGAGGGGAAGAUGUGCAGAGGUUUUCAGUCCUUCUAAGUCUCAUACUUUGACACAAGUUCCCAUUUUCAGCAGCACAGAAUUAAGUGACAUUUCCUCCAACUAUUUUUCAAAACCCUAAUGAAGAUUUCUUUGUAGUGCUUUCUACUGAGGCAAGGAAAAAGCAAAGUUCACCGUGAGCCUGUUUCUCAGAGCUGCUGCUGUGAUUCUGUGAUCUGUGCUGCACCUGCCUCUCCUCAGCAGCAGCUCUUGGUGCAGCUUUUCAGGAGUAAAUCUCACCUGAAAAUAGAGGGUGUCUCAUAAAUAACUGUGCCAGCAGGCAGGCACUGGGGAGGGAACCUGCUUUCCACUUGUCUUUCACCCUGUUGCCCCAGAUAAUGGAUUUAGAAACGACAGCAAAUAUCCAGGCACAGGAAUCUAGUCCAGUUAUUUCCCCUUCCUCCACCCCUCUUUCCUGGAAGGACAAGCUCUUGUCUCUGAGCUUUGCCCCUGCUGCCUGGGAGUGUGCAUUAGGAUGGAGCAGAUUUUUGGAUGUGGUUACAACAGGAAUACACAGAGUUGCCAAAAACCCAGGGCAUCAAUAAGUGAAACUGCUGCCUCCAGUUGUGCUUUGUUCCAUUUCACAUUGGCCUCUGCUCCAGCACAGGUCAGACACUUAUCCAAGGGUUGAUAGCUCCUGAAUUAUGCAUGUGUGGAGCAGUUCAGAGCUUCCCAACACCCCCUCUACUCCCUCUGCUCCAAGCUCUGGACACUGCAGGUUAAGAGCACUGCUCAGCCCUGCUGCAGUUCCAGGAACCAUCAGCCACUCAUUUUCACACUCUCCUUCCUCGACAACUUCCCCUGAACCAUUUACAGUUCCAUUUAUGAAUGCUCUCCUUUUGUUCUGACCCACACUCAAAGUACUUUCAACUCAAUUUAUUUUCAUUCUGCCUGCAGAAUUCAGAAGUUGUCUCACAAAAAUCUGCAAGUCCUUGCUCAUUUAAAGCCCAGGGACUGCUGUGGAGGAAGUUCCAUCAGGACACUCACAUUUCCUUUCCCUGUCACAAAAAUCACCUGAUCUGUCCUCUACUCUCUGAUCAGUGAGUGAAAGCCAGAACUGUCUCUGUCUUGGACAGAAUGAGGUUCAUAGCCUGGUUUUAUCUGCAGUGAAAUGAAAAAAGUGUUCCUGAACCACACAAACUUCCCACACUCACCCCAUCAGCAUUGUGCUCUGCAAUAGCAAGAAAUAAAACCUUGAUCAUCACUUGCUGGGAAGAACUUGAGUGCAUUCCACCUGGCUAGGGCAGGGAACAACACUCACUGCCAGGCUGGGGGUUUUUCCUCACCACAUAUUUAACUUCUUCUCAACCAUCCACAAGAUGCCACAAAAAAAUAUCCAUAAAGUAGCUAAGGCCAAGGUAACUGUCUU